CCGGUGAAUGCCAGCCUGUGGCCCUGCCCCGCGUGGGGAGGCGGGACCCUGUCCUCACCGUGCUGAUGAGCCAACAGGACAAGACGCAGCGUUGGUUGAGUGCUUAUAGUGCUCACCAGACGCUGGACCUACUGGAUGUCACAAAAGCCCUGCAAGAUGGGAGCUGUCAUUGCGACCUCCACUUCAAAGGUAGAAGAACAGAGGCUCAGAGAUUAGCACGGGCUGGUAUUUAGGAUCCUUACCUUCUGAGGUGGUCGGGAAGCUUGAAUGGGUCACUGAAGGGGUUUCCCAUGGUGUCCAGCAUCCAGGCCAUGUCCAGUAAACUGAGGGAUCAGGGUAUCUUGCAUUCUGCAGCCAACUGUCUGCAUUUGAAUCUUGCUCUUGUCCCUAAUGUGCUGUGUGGCCUCAGGCAAGUCACUUAACCUCUCUGAACCAGUUUCCACAUCCAUAAAAUGGGAAAUCCACACCUGGGGCAGGGUUUCAGAACCUUAGUCCUGUUGGCGUUUUGGCCUAUGUCUUUCUGUGGCUCAGGGCUGUCCUGUGUGUUGGAAGAUGCUUUGUGACAUCCCUGGCCUCAAUCCACUCGAUGCCAGUAGCUCUCUCUCCCUGAACAGUUGGGACAACCAAACAUGUCCCCGCAUUUCUCCAGUGUUGUGGGGGUCCUGGGCCUGGCUCUCCUGCCUGGCAGGAGACCUAACAUCUCAGAGGUCCUAUGGGGUGGGUGUCUCUCAAGCCCAAGGACCCCAGGAGGGGGUGUGGUGAUCCCCGUUUUACAGGUGGAAAACUAAGGCCCAGAGAGGAGUGUGGCUGUGCCUGACCUCACUUGCUACAGCUGUACCCAUUCUCCAGAGAGCAAACGAGGCUCGUUGGCUCAAGCCACCAGCCCGGGGCCACGUUCCAUUAACUAGCAGAACUGAGAUUAGAACCCAGACCCGAAUGACUCCGAAGUCCAGGCUCUUCCUCCCUGUCGAGGUCCAGCGGGGAGCUGGCCUGGUCCUGUGUGUCCUCCCGUGGUGUCUUUCCCUCUCUGGUCCAAGGUUUUCCUCCUAGAAGCCACAAAACAAAUAAGGUGGGAACCAAUGUGUCCCUCUCCACACGUGAUGGGCAGUGGGGGUGGUGGGGACGCACGAGAGGCCACUCUUCAGACCUGUCCCAGCCUCCCAGGUGGAAUGGGAAGAGUACUGGAACUCGGUCCUCAGGGCCCAGCUGCCUGGCCAGCACUGGACUGCAGAGGGCGGGAGCCACAGCCACCCAGGGCCUCCCUGCCCUGCCCUGGCUCCUGGCUGAGCCCUGGGGCUGGGAGCCUGAGAGAGUCCCCUCCCCACUGACCAGUCAUGUGACUGUUCCCUCUGGCAGCCUCAGUCUCCUUGUGUGGGAGCACAGUGGGCUGGGGUUGGCCAGCAGAGGAGAGGGCAUGGCCAGCCCCGAGAGCCCCCUGCUGGGGAGGCCCACCUGAGUCUGGGCCUUGGGAUCACAACAUUGGUGCCAGAGGAGGAAACCGAGGACCCCUGGGCCACCCACAGUGGCUGUUCUGGGCACCUGCUGGGCGGGUGGCUGUCUGUGUGGGGCCCUGGCCAGCAUCUUCUCCCCUGAGGCUCAGAUGCCCCCAUUUUACAGGUGAGG
rnacentral:lncRNA from 1 species